AUGCAAGUCGAGGGGUAUAGUUGCUAUACUAGUAGACCGGCGCACGGGUGCGUAACGCGCAUGCGCUCUCCCUUUCACAGAGGGAUAUCCCCCAGAAAUUUGGAUUAAUACCUCUUAUUAUAGCAGUUUCUCAUGAGACCCCUAUUUAAGUCACACCGGUGAAAGAUGAGCAUGCGUCCCAUUAUCUAUAUGGGGAGGUGACGGCUUACCCUGGGAACGAUGGGGAGGGGUCCUGAGAGGGAGAUCCCCCCCACU
rnacentral:rRNA from 1 species